GCUAGUAAUCGCGGAUCAGCAUGCCGCGGUGAAUACGUUCCCGGGCCUUGUACACACCGCCCGUCACACCACGAGAGUUUGUAACACCCGAAGUCGGUGAGGUAACCUUUUGGAGCCAGCCGCCUAAGGUGGGACAGAUGAUUGGGGUGAAGUCGUAACAAGGUAGCCGUAUCGGAAGGUGCGGCUGGAUCACCUCCUUUCUAAGGA
rnacentral:rRNA from 1 species